rnacentral:rRNA from 1 species
CUAUGGCUCACUACUUGCACUUUCCAUUUUUGGGAAGUGCUUUUUUUUAGGUUCUCCACCAAAUGUGGUGGGUAUAUAAUUUAAAGAACUAUUUUUAAAAUACAACUUUUAGAGCUUUUAUU